GUGCCUAAUACAUGCAAGUCGAGCGAACAGACGAGGAGCUUGCUCCUCUGACGUUAGCGGCGGACGGGUGAGUAACACGUGGAUAACCUACCUAUAAGACUGGGAUAACUUCGGGAAACCGGAGCUAAUACCGGAUAACAUGUUGAACCGCAUGGUUCAACAGUGAAAGACGGUCUUGCUGUCACUUAUAGAUGGAUCCGCGCCGCAUUAGCUAGUUGGUAAGGUAACGGCUUACCAAGGCAACGAUGCGUAGCCGACCUGAGAGGGUGAUCGGCCACACUGGAACUGAGACACGGUCCAGACUCCUACGGGAGGCAGCAGUAGGGAAUCUUCCGCAAUGGGCGAAAGCCUGACGGAGCAACGCCGCGUGAGUGAAGAAGGUCUUCGGAUCGUAAAACUCUGUUAUUAGGGAAGAACAAAUGUGUAAGUAACUAUGCACGUCUUGACGGUACCUAAUCAGAAAGCCACGGCUAACUCUGG
rnacentral:rRNA from 1 species